rnacentral:rRNA from 1 species
AUACGGAGGAUCCGAGCGUUAUCCGGAUUUAUUGGGUUUAAAGGGUGCGCAGGCGGCCAUUUAAGUCAGCGGUGAAAGUUUGUCGCUCAACGAUAAAAUUGCCGUUGAUACUGGUUUACUUGAGUAUAGUUGAAGUAGGCGGAAUGCGUGGUGUAGCGGUGAAAUGCAUAGAUAUCACGCAGAACUCCGAUUGCGAAGGCAGCUUACUAAGUUAUAACUGACACUGAAGCACGAAAGCGUGGGUAUCAAACAGGAUUAGAUACCCUGGUAGUCCACGCAGUAAACGAUGAUUACUAGCUGUUUGCGAUAUACAGAAGUGGCACAGCGAAAGCGUUAAGUAAUCCACCUGGGGAGUACGUUCGCAAGAAUGAAACUCAAAGGAAUUGACGGG